UACGUGGUAUGAGUUAGCAGCUUGGUGGUGAUACCUCAUGAUAGUGUAACGUUGUGAGAAAGUAAAGCACCAGAAACAACUGAACUUAUCUACAACCCAACUGAGAGCAGCUACUUACAAAACAUCAGUGAAAGCUGGAGAAGCAGAAGCGAAAUGAGAGGAAAUCAUACCGAGACAAACUCAGCAAGGACGCCAGGAACCGUUAUUUGGAUAAAAGAUCAUCUGUUAACAGCAUUGAGAAGCUAAGUUUGUUGUGAGCGGGUGGAACAGCGACCAUGUUGCACUUGUAGCGGUAAAUGUUUUUAGUUUUUGUCUGUGUCUAUUUACAAGUAAAAAUAAAGUACAUAUAUUGAAAUUUUA